rnacentral:rRNA from 1 species
UGACAGAUUGAAAGCUCUUUCUCGAUUUGGUGGUUGGUGGUGCAUGGCCGUUCUUAGUUGGUGGAGCGAUUUGUCUGGUUUAUUCCGAUAACGAGCGAGACUCUAGCCUGCUAAAUAGUGUCUGGAUUUUCAAGUCCAGUCUACUUCUUAGAGGGAUAAGCGGUGUUUAGCCGCACGAGAAUGAGCGAUAACAGGUCUGUGAUGCCCUUAGAUGUCCGGGGCUGCACGCGCGCUACAAUGGAAGAAUCAGCUGGCUUAUCCAUUGCCGAAAGGCAUUGGUAAACCGUUGAAACUCUUCCGUGACCGGGAUAGGGAAUUGUAAUUAUUUCCCUUAAACGAGGAAUUCCUAGUAAGUGUGAGUCAUCAGCUCACGCUGAUUACGUCCCUGCCAUUUGUACACACCGCCCGUCGCUGUCCGGGACUGAGCUGUCUCGAGAGGACUGCGGACUGCUGUAUUGAGGCCUUCGGGUCGCGGUAUGGCGGGAAACAGUUCAAUCGCAAUGGCUUGAACCGGGUAAAAGUCGUAACAAGGUAUCUGUAGGUGAACCUGCAGAUGGAUCAUCGUCGAAGCCAUUAUGGUUCCUUUGGUCCCGAGGCUUUCAACAUGCUAGACUUCUCGACUUUGUCGCGAACGUUGGAAGCCUCACCACCGUUGUAGCUCUACGUGAGGCGUCUAUAAACGUGAUCAUGAGCCGUUAGUGAGUGGCGGUCGUGAUUGAUCCCGUGUGCUCUUUUCAAGAGCUUUAGACUCAAUGAGCAUUUGCUAGAAAUGCCGCCUCGCUCGUUGGUAGGUAUUGGUGAUUAUGCAGACGCUGCUAGGAAAGCGUUGCUAGUGCGGGACCCGAUUGACGGGAAAUCUUAAAGAUUCGACAGACAUGAGGUCGGACGCCAAUGCAUUACCGUACUUUUUUACUCUUGUUAAUUGCAGACCGUGACCUUGUGUCGCGAAAGUUGACUAGCUUCAGCGAUGGAUCGGUCGAUUCGCGUAUCGAUGAAAAACGCAGCAAGCUGCGUUAUUUACCACGAAUUGCAGACGCUUAGAGUGGUGAAAUUUUGAACGCAUAGCGCCGUUGGGUUUUCCCUUCGGCACGUCUGGUUCAGGGUUGUUUACUAUGUACUGCAGUUUAGCCUGUUAACUGCUUGUCGCAUGGCACUCGUAGCUGGUUCGCUAGCAGCAACGAUUCCCGUGUUAGCAUAGAAUAACGAAAGCAACAUGACGUGCAAACGUCUCUGCAUGAUGUGGCCAUAUUGUUGUCACCGUCUUGACAGCUCAACGAGACUAGGAGCAGUUUUGACGGUAGCUUGUAUGACAACGAUGGCUACUGAUUUGCAUUGCAACCUGAGCUCAGGCGUGACUACCCGCUGAACUUAAGCAUAUCAUUUAGCGGAGGAAAAGAAACUAACAAGGAUUCCCUCAGUAACGGCGAGUGAACGGGGAGAAGCCCAGCGCUGAAUCUUUCGGUUUUACACCGUUAAGAAAUGUAGCGUAUAGGUGUGAUUUUCAGUUUGUGCUGCUUGUCCGAAGUCCCUUUGAUAGGGGCCAUGCCUGAGAGGGUGCAAGACCUGUGCGGAUAGUGGAGCAAACUGUACGAUCAUACUUUGGAGUCGGGUUGCUUGAAAGUGCAGCCUAAAGUGGGUGAUAAACUUCAUCUAAGGCUAAAUAUUGACGCGAAUUCGAUAGCAAACAAGUACUGUGAAGGAAAGUUGCAAAGAACUUUGAAGAGAGAGUUCAAGAGAACGUGAAAUCGCUGGAGUGGAACCGGAGAGAGUUGACGUAGCCGGGUUACUAAGUUCCCUGAAGUCGCUUAAUUGUGUCUGAGGGGGAUGUGUGUUGCCUAUGGCUGCGCUGACAGCGUUGGCUGUGCGUUCCGAACUGUUUUCGUUGCCCACCGUUCGCGGUGGUGUCUUGAUUACGGAUAGGUUUGUCGUGGCUAGCGUUUUAUCCUGCUUGCAGGGUGUCAGUGUGAAAGUCGACCACCUCUCCGACCCGUCUUGAAACACGGACCGAGGAGUGUAACUUGUACGCGAGUCAAAGGGUGGAAAACCCCAAGGCGCAAUGAAAGUAAAGGUCGGUUUACCGGCUGACAUGGGAUCCGCUCUUCGGAGUGGCGCACCAUGGCCCUGUCUUGUCUGCUUGCAGAUGGGCAGCGGUAGAGCGUACAGGUUGCGACCCGAAAGAUGGUGAACUAUGCCUGAGCAGGACGAAGCCAGAGGAAACUCUGGUGGAAGUCCGUAUCGGUUCUGACGUGCAAAUCGAUCGAUAGACUUGGGUAUAGGGGCG